UCAUAAAGGGGGUGUUUAAGUUUGGAGGUAAAAAGGAUCUUGUCCUUCUGUAUGUGAUCAAUAUUGAUCAACAGUGGCGUCGUUAGGCCUGGGCGUUCGGGGCUAUAGCCCCGGAUCUUUUACGAAUAACCCCAGAUCACAAAUUGUUAGCGCUAAGGGUCAUGGGCUGUUGGCCGCUUAACACUAGAACCGGAAGGCCUUUUUUACCCCCAUUAUCCGCUGAGCUGAACGCCGUUUGGCAUAAUUAGCCUACCAAUCGCCCCAAUUAAAAUGGACAUUCUCCUUAGCAGCCCCACUGCUAAGUUAAUGCAAAUUAACUUAACAAUCUGAGAUCCAGGAUCCUUUUUACCUCUGAACUUAAACACCCCCUUUAUGAUUGAAAUUGUGUUGAGGUGGGAUUUUGGGCAGAAGGGGAGGGGUCAAAAGUUUGAAUAUGCCUUAAAUACAGUAUUCCCCUUAACCAGUCUUUUAGAGUCUUAAACAUUGCACUUUUGGCUACUUUGCACCAUGACAUUGAUUUCGAUUGAGUUAAGUUAACAGAUUAAGGCUUGGAGGAGGAACGGAAGAACUACUAAAGGGAUUUCGAAAAUACUGUUAGACAUUACGGUGAAGGAUCCUACUAUUCAACCACACUAUCAUCACACUCCAGUCAAACGCCGAACACGGAAGCCUAGAAAAAUGACCAGCAGAACAUUCAAGCCAUUGAUUUCCUAAUGAUUGAAAAUUAUGAGCGGUCCACUCAGGAGAAGUGUCUGCUUUCAUCAAGUAUAACAUCAACAUUGCUGUUAUUACUAUCAGAAGACAACUGAAGGAACUUGGGUGGAGUUAUGGAAAAGCUUGUUUGGAAAACAAACAAAUAACUUUGUGUGCUGCAGGCCCAGGCAUGGAGUGAAAGUCAUGAAAAAUUAAAUGAUGUCAUCUUGACCGACAAAACCACAAUCGCCCUUGAGCAAUUUGCGAAAAGUUGCUAUAGAAAACCUGGUAGAUGAUCAACCAAGCGGUCUCCAAGCAUCCACUCAAACUCCAUGGUGGAUUUCUCGUCAAGGACCAGGCCCAUAUGUGAUUUUCAAAAGUAUUAUGGCUUGAGAGUUUUUUGAAGAAGAAAUCAUCAAGGGAUGUGUUGGACCCUAGGUCAGAGAUGUUUUUCUGGGACAACAUUGUUUCUUUCAAGGUUACCGGAUUUGAAUCCAAUAGAAAAUGUUUGGAAUUAACUAAAAACAUUUGUUCGUAAGCGUGCCAAGCUGACAAGCAAAGAUGAGCUUGUUAUCAGAAAGUUUGGGCUUGAGAAACUGACGAUAAAGGCCUGCAACAAAUACAUUGACCCCAUCUACAACGUCAUACCUGUGAUCGUGGAUUUGGAGGGAGGGGCAACUAAAAUGUAGCAUUGUAAAUUCUAUAUGUUGGUAAAAUA